UAAUACGAAGGUGGCAAGCGUUAUUCGGAUUUACUGGGCGUACAGGGAGCGUAGGCGGUUCGGUAAGCCCUUUGUGAAAUCUUCAGGCUUAACCUGGAAAAGUCGGAGGGGACUGCCGGGCUAGAGGACGGGAGAGGAGCGCGGAAUUCCCGGUGUAGCGGUGAAAUGCGUAGAGAUCGGGAGGAAGGCCGGUGGCGAAGGCGGCGCUCUGGAACGUUUCUGACGCUGAGGCUCGAAAGCGUGGGGAGCAAACAGGAUUAGAUACCCUGGU
rnacentral:rRNA from 1 species